CUCAUAGGAAUAAGCCAGGCAAAAAAGUAGGGAUGCAUGUUCCCCAUAGAGGACAUAGCACAUGUGAAGGCCGUUUGUUCAACAAUUAUCUGCCGAGAAUUUACUAAGGGCCUGGGUCCUGCACACAGCAGAGAAAACAGCCAAUAAAAAUCCCAGCUGUUGUGAAGGUCACAUUCUAGAAGCCCGAAGGAGCCAAGCAGGAGAAUCUGAAGGAAGAAGAAAGCAUGGCAGUCAUCUUCCAGGAAAUGAAAUCGACGAUCUCGUCCACUCCCAUGGCUCUCAACGCCACCUAUCUUAUGACAACUCCCACGUUUACAUCUCCAUUUCCGAUCUGUCUUCUGAGCCCAGACCCAUGUGUCCAACCACCUACUUGGCAUUGCCAUCUGGCUGUUGGCCUUGCGUCGCAGACUCGGCAUGUGUAAAACGAAUUCAUCAGCUGCCUCCUCCAGGGCUCCCUAUCCAGAGGGUGACACCACCUGCCACCCAGCCACUCAAGGAAGACAUUGGGAUGUGUCAUCAUCCACACCUCCUCUCCCUGUCACCUCCCCUGCACUCCACCCCACUAUGUGACUGGAGAAGCAUCAGGGCCUGCCAAUCCAACACCUCCUGAAGAGCUGUCACUUCUGCCUGCUGUUCUGCAUUUUCGCCACCAGUGCCCUGCUCCAAGACAGCCUGGUCUCCUGCCUGGACUCCUACUAAACCCUCUAACUGGUUCCCCCACAGCGACGUUUAGGGGGGAAGGUUAACACUGUACUUGCUCUAUUCAGUCUCUGCAACAACAAAUUCAACAGACUGCUGGAGAAUGUCGCCAGGAUGCUCUGGUUCUCAGCCCUUGAUUUGGAAAGCUGGGUGUACGUGUCCCAACCCCGCAAGCCUGAUGUGUCCUUUUGCUAGAAUAAUUCCCUACGUGGCCUCUCCAAGCCAGAGGCAGGCCCUGCAAGAAGUCUUCCUAGGAAUGACUGUCUCAAUAUCUAAAAUCUACUUUUCUUGUAUCAUCCCAAUGAGUGUGGAGUGAGAGUGACGCCGGCAUCCGGACUCCAUGAGGCUGAGCAUGCCAACUGCAGAUUCCAGCUCAGAUGUCCCUCCCACAGGAAAACCUUCCGUAGCCCCUGAGACCAGACCAGCACCAACUCUGCACUGCACAGCGCUGUGCUUCUCUGCACUGCUGAUCGCAGCAGCCGUCCUUUGAUGCACGAUUUGCGCGACAUUUUCUCUACUAGCAUGUAAGCUCCAUGAAGUUAGGGACGGAGUCUUCUCCUUUAGUGAUGUCUUUCCAGCACCUAGUGGAACGCCUGGCAUUUAGCAAGUGUCCAACAAGUAUUUCUUAAAUGGAUAAAAUAUGUUCUAAAUCUAGAUCUUUCUGAUAUAGUAGAACAAAUUAGUAAUUUUUGUUGGUGUCAUGCUAGUUUUGAAUGACUAGCCUUGCUGCUUGCUGCUUGUCCAUUGAUCAGUGUUACUUUUUCAUAGAAUUCGCCAAGAGCAUUUGCUCUAGCCAGGUAAUGCACUAGGUACUGGGAAUCAAAAAACUUUUUUUUCACUUUCUAAUUAUUUUGUUAUAUUUUUCUGUUAUCUAUGCUUAUGGUGUUUCUACGGACU